rnacentral:rRNA from 1 species
AUUGAACGCUGGCGGCAUGCCUUACACAUGCAAGUCGAACGGCAGCACGGGAGCAAUCCUGGUGGCGAGUGGCGAACGGGUGAGUAAUGUAUCGGAACGUGCCCAGUCGUGGGGGAUAACGCAGCGAAAGCUGUGCUAAUACCGCAUACGAUCUAUGGAUGAAAGCGGGGGAUCGCAAGACCUCGCGCGAUUGGAGCGGCCGAUAUCAGAUUAGGUAGUUGGUGGGGUAAAGGCCCACCAAGCCUACGAUCUGUAGCUGGUCUGAGAGGACGACCAGCCACACUGGAACUGAGACACGGUCCAGACUCCUACGGGAGGCAGCAGUGGGGAAUUUUGGACAAUGGGCGCAAGCCUGAUCCAGCAAUGCCGCGUGCAGGAUGAAGGCCUUCGGGUUGUAAACUGCUUUUGUACGGAGCGAAACGGCUCUCACUAAUACUGGGGGCUAAUGACGGUACCGUAAGAAUAAGCACCGGCUAACUACGUGCCAGCCGCCGCAGUAACAC